ensembl:lncRNA
GUUGCCAUAAUCAAUGCAUGGUGGUUUUGGGAUCAGAGAGACCAUGGAAGGGUGGAAGGGGUCAUGCGUGGGGGUCUGUAGGGCCAGAAGGACAUGGAGAGCUCGCCAUAAUCAAUGCAUGGUGGUCUUUGGGAUCAGAGGGACCAUGGAAGGGUGGAAGGGGCCAUGUAUGGGGGUCUGUAGGGCCAGAAGGACAUGGGGAGGUCACCAAAGUCAAUGCAUGGUGGUCUUUGGGAUCAGAUGGACCAUGUAGGGUGGAAGGGGUCAUGCAUGGGGGUCUGUAGGGCCAGAAGGACAUGGGGGGCUCAUCAAAGUCCAUGUAUGGUGGGAUGUGGGAUCAGAGGGGCCAUGUAGGGUGGAAGGGGUCAUGCGUGGGGGUCUGUAGGGCCAGAAGGACAUGGAGAGCUCGCCAUAAUCAAUGCAUGGUGGUCUUUGGGAUCAGUGGGACCAUGGAGGGGUGGAAGGGUCCAUGUAUGGGGGGCUGUGGGAUCAGAGGGACCAUGUAGGGUG